UAGUUCUCAUUGCCACGACGCCUUCCC
rnacentral:sRNA from 1 species